UAGAGUUUGAUCCUGGCUCAGGAUGAACGCUAGCUACAGGCUUAACACAUGCAAGUCGAGGGGAAACGACAUCGAAAGCUUGCUUUUGAUGGGCGUCGACCGGCGCACGGGUGAGUAACGCGUAUCCAACCUGCCCACCACUUGGGGAUAACCUUGCGAAAGUAAGACUAAUACCCAAUGAUAUCUCUAGAAGACAUCUGAAGGAGAUUAAAGAUUUAUCGGUGAUGGAUGGGGAUGCGUCUGAUUAGCUUGUUGGCGGGGUAACGGCCCACCAAGGCAACGAUCAGUAGGGGUUCUGAGAGGAAGGUCCCCCACAUUGGAACUGAGACACGGUCCAAACUCCUACGGGAGGCAGCAGUGAGGAAUAUUGGUCAAUGGACGAGAGUCUGAACCAGCCAAGUAGCGUGCAGGAUGACGGCCCUAUGGGUUGUAAACUGCUUUUAUAAGGGAAUAAAGUGAGUCUCGUGAGAUUUUUUGCAUGUACCUUAUGAAUAAGGACCGGCUAAUUCCGUGCCAGCAGCCGCGGUAAUACGGAAGGUCCGGGCGUUAUCCGGAUUUAUUGGGUUUAAAGGGAGCGUAGGCCGGAGAUUAAGCGUGUUGUGAAAUGUAGAUGCUCAACAUCUGCACUGCAGCGCGAACUGGUUUCCUUGAGUACGCACAAAGUGGGCGGAAUUCGUGGUGUAGCGGUGAAAUGCUUAGAUAUCACGAAGAACUCCGAUUGCGAAGGCAGCUCACUGGAGCGCAACUGACGCUGAAGCUCGAAAGUGCGGGUAUCGAACAGGAUUAGAUACCCUGGUAGUCCGCACGGUAAACGAUGGAUGCCCGCUGUUGGUCUGAAUAGGUCAGCGGCCAAGCGAAAGCAUUAAGCAUCCCACCUGGGGAGUACGCCGGCAACGGUGAAACUCAAAUGAAUUGACGG
rnacentral:rRNA from 1 species